rnacentral:rRNA from 1 species
CGGCAACAGCUCAAAUUUGAAAUCUGGCCCUUUCGGGUCCGAGUUGUAAUUUGUAGAGGAUGUUUCGGGUAAGAUCCUGGUCUAAGUUCCUUGGAACAGGACGUCAUAGAGGGUGAGAAUCCCGUACGUGACCGUGGAUCGCACCCGUGUGAAACUCCUUCGAC